AUACGGGAGGCAGCAGUAGGGAAUAUUGGGCAAUGGAGGCAACUCUGACCCAGCCAUGCCGCGUGCAGGAUGAAGGCGUUAUGCGUUGUAAACUGCUUUUAUAUAGGAAGAAAAAGACCUUGCGAGGUAAAUUGACGGUACUAUAUGAAUAAGCACCGGCUAACUCCGUGCCAGCAGCCGCGGUAAUACGGAGGGUGCAAGCGUUGUCCGGAUUUAUUGGGUUUAAAGGGUGCGUAGGCGGUUUAUUAAGUCAGUGGUGAAAGACGGUCGCUCAACGAUUGCAGUGCCAUUGAUACUGGUAGACUUGAGUGAGAUUGAGGUAGCUGGAAUGGAUAGUGUAGCGGUGAAAUGCAUAGAUAUUAUCCAGAACACCAAUUGCGUAGGCAAGUUACUAAGUCUCAACUGACGCUGAGGCACGAAAGUGUGGGUAUCAAACAGGAUUAGAUACCCGCGUAGUCCC
rnacentral:rRNA from 1 species